AUGAACGCUAGCGACAGGCCUAACACAUGCAAGUCAGGGGCAGCACAAGGAGCAAUCUGAGGUGGCGACCGGCGCACGGGUGAGUAACACGUAUGCAACCUGCCUGUAAGCGGGGAAUAACCCGUUGAAAGACGGACUAAUACCGCAUAAUACUAAAUUACUGCAUGGUAAUUUAUUUAAACAUUUAUGGCUUACAGAUGGGCAUGCGCAUGAUUAGCUAGUUGGAGAGGUAACGGCUCCCCAAGGCAACGAUCAUUAGGGGUUCUGAGAGGAAGGUCCCCACACUGGUACUGAGACACGGACCAGACUCCUACGGGAGGCAGCAGUGAGGAAUAUUGGUCAAUGGACGAGAGUCUGAACCAGCCAAGUCGCGUGCAGGAAGAAUGUCCUAAUGGAUUGUAAACUGCUUCUGCAGGGGAAUAAAGUGCAUCACGUGUGAUGUUUUGUAUGUACUCUGCGAAUAAGGAUCGGCUAACUCCGUGCCAGCCGCCGC
rnacentral:rRNA from 1 species